rnacentral:sRNA from 1 species
GUUGAGUGGGAAUAAAGAGCCAACAUAAUAUGAAUGGGGAAUGCCGAUAAAUCAACGUUUUUCAACUUAUGAAAUGCUUGAUUUUCAUUGAAAAUGAUAUGGUUCCCUACCAUUUUCCCUACCAAAAUAAAACCCUGCUAAGAUAAUACUUGGCAGGGAAUUUUUG